rnacentral:rRNA from 2 species
GCUAAAUGCGCGUCACAAUGUGAACUGCAGGACACAUGAACACCGAUAA